AGAGUUUACGUAUCCUCGGCGUCAGGAUGAACGCUGGCGGCGUGCUUACUACAUGCAAGUCGAGCGAAGUCACUUGUUUGUAAUCUUCGGAGGAAGAACGAAGUGACUGAGCGGCGGACGGGUGAGUAACGCGUGGGCAACCUGCCUCAGUACAGGGGGAUAACAGUUAGAAAUGACUGCUAAUACCGUAUAAGACCACGGUACUGCAUGGUACAGUGGUAAAAACUCCGGUGGUAUGAGAUGGGCCCGCGUCUGAUUAGCUAGUUGGUGAGGUAACGGCUCACCAAGGCAACGAUCAGUAGCCGACCUGAGAGGGUGACCGGCCACAUUGGGACUGAGACACGGCCCAAACUCCUACGGGAGGCAGCAGUGGGGAAUAUUGCACAAUGGGGGGAAACCCUGAUGCAGCGACGCCGCGUGAGCGAUGAAGUAUUUCGGUAUGUAAAGCUCUAUCAGCAGGGAAGAAAAUGACGGUACCUGACUAAGAAGCCCCCGGCUAACUACGUG
rnacentral:rRNA from 1 species